rnacentral:tRNA from 1 species
GCGGGGAGAGUGCUGGUUUCUCUGAAGGGUCUCAUAAGCCCUUUCACGCGGGUUCGAUUCCCGUCCCCGCG